UAGUCCACGCUGUAAACGAUGAGUGCUAGGUAUUGGCAAGAGUUAGUGCCGCAGUUAACACAUUAAGCACUCCGCCUGGGGAGUACGUGCGCAAGCAUGAAACUCAAAGGAAUUGACGGGGGCCCGCACAAGCAGCGGAGCAUGUGGUUUAAUUCGAAGCAACGCGAAGAACCUUACCAGGGCUUGACAUAUAGAGGACAUAUUUAGAGAUAAAUAGACUUCUUCGGAAGCCUUUAUAC
rnacentral:rRNA from 1 species